rnacentral:lncRNA from 1 species
CAGCAGCCGCAGAGGGCGCUGGCGAGCCAUUGUAGAGGGCACCACCGUCCAGUCAUGGCCUCGGUUGUGCCGUAAGAUAUCAGCUGAUCGUUACGUGGCUAACAGCUGAUCGAUGCGCAGAGGUCAAACGGGUCAAGCGGCGCAAUGGAGGAAUGGUGUUAAUUACGUACGAAUAUACAGCUACAAACUGA